AAUAGUCAAAUGGCUGAACCAGCAACUUGGAAGAAUGUAGAGAGGUAAAUCCUCAUGUAGUUCUAGGUAAAAUACAGAGUAUGACUAUUUUUUAUCUAUGAGUCUUGACCAAAUUACGUGCCAGCAGUCGCGGUAAUACGUAGAAGACGAGUGUUAUUCAUGUUUAAUCGGUUUAAAGGGUACCUAGACAGAAAACCAAGCCUCUUUAGGUACUAGUUUUCUAGAGUUUUAUGUGUGAAUAGCGAAUUAUCAGAGCAGGGUCGGAAUCCUCUAAUCCUGGUAGGACGGGUAACGGCAAAUGUUCUAUUCUAUGUAUUAACUGACGUUGAGGGACGAAGCCUUGGGUAGCGAUUAGGAUUCGAAACCCUAGUAGUCCAAGGAGACAAUGAUGAGUGCCAUAAGCUAGAGUUUUAUUUAGUUUAUAAAUGAAAGUGUAAGCAUUCCACCUUAAGACUAAAGCGGCAACGCCCAAAUUGAAAUCAUUAGACCGUUUCUGAAACCAGUAGUGAAGUAUGUUAUUUAAUUCGAUGAUCCGCGAAUAACCUUACCACGUUUUGAAUACUAAUGCAAAUUAAUACAAGUGCUGCACGGCUGUCUUCAGUUAAUGUCGUGAGAUUUUGGUUAAUUCCUUUAAUUAACGAAAGCCCUUACUUUAGUUAUCUUUAUUUCUAAAGUUGUUAACCAAUAUAUUGGAUAUCAUAAAAGGGACUAAGACAAGUCAUCAUGGCCUUAAUAA
rnacentral:rRNA from 1 species